rnacentral:rRNA from 1 species
GAUGAACGCUGGCGGCGUGCCUAAUACAUGCAAGUCGAGCGAACAGACGAGGAGCUUGCUCCUCUGACGUUAGCGGCGGACGGGUGAGUAACACGUGGAUAACCUACCUAUAAGACUGGGAUAACUUCGGGAAACCGGAGCUAAUACCGGAUAAUAUAUUGAACCGCAUGGUUCAAUAGUGAAAGACGGUUUUGCUGUCACUUAUAGAUGGAUCCGCGCCGCAUUAGCUAGUUGGUAAGGUAACGGCUUACCAAGGCAACGAUGCGUAGCCGACCUGAGAGGGUGAUCGGCCACACUGGAACUGAGACACGGUCCAGACUCCUACGGGAGGCAGCAGUAGGGAAUCUUCCGCAAUGGGCGAAAGCUUGACGGAGCAACGCCGCGUGAGUGAUGAAGGUCUUCGGACCGUAAAACUCUGUUAUUAGGGAAGAACAAAUGUGUAAGUAACUAUACACGUCUUGACGGUACCUAAUCAGAAAGCCACGGCUAACUACGUG